rnacentral:rRNA from 1 species
CCUACGGGAGGCUGCAGUGAGGAAUAUUGCACAAUGGGCGCAAGCCUGAUGCAGCGACGCCGCGUGGGUGAAGAAGGUUUUCGGAUCGUAAAACCCUUUUCUGUGUGACGAGCAAGGACGGUAGCACAGGAAUAAGUCUCGGCUAACUACGUGCCAGCAGCCGCGGUAAAACGUAGGAGACAAACGUUAUCCGGAGUUACUGGGCGUAAAGGGCGUGUAGGUGGUUUUGUAAGUUUGGCGUGAAAUUUCUCGGCUUAACCGGGAGAGGUCGUCGG